CAGCAGCCGCGGUAAUACGAAGGGUGCAAGCGUUACUCGGAAUUACUGGGCGUAAAGCGUGCGAUAGGUGGUGCGUUAAGUCUGUCGUGAAAUCCCCGGGCUUAACCUGGGAACUGCACUUGUGACUGCAUGGCUAGAGUGCGGCAGAGGGGGAUGGAAUUCCGCGUGUAGCAGUGAAAUGCGUAGAUAUGCGGAGGAACACCGGUGGCGAAGGCGGCCCUCUGGACGGAUACUGACGCUGAGACGCGAAAGCGUGGGAGCAAACAGGAUUAGAUACCCUGGUAGUCCUAGCCGUAAACUAUGACGACUAGGUGUUGGCUCACAUCUGUGGGUCAGUGCCGUAGGUAACCUGUUAAGUCGUCCACCUGGGGAGUACGGCCGCAAGGUUGAAACUCAAAGGAAUUGACGG
rnacentral:rRNA from 1 species